rnacentral:rRNA from 1 species
GCGUUUGACCUCAAAUCAGGUAGGAUUACCCGCUGAACUU